ACGAAACGCUGGCGGCACGCUAACACAUGCAAGUCGAGCGGGUUCGGAGGUUAGAACUGAGGGAUUAAGGAAUUGAUCUCUGAGAUCUAACUUCCGGAUAGCGGCGGACGGGUGAGUAACACGUGAGGAACCUGCCUUUCAGAGGGGGAUAACGUUUGGAAACGAACGCUAAUACCGCAUAAAGUAUAGAUACGGCAUCGUAUUUAUACCAAAGGAGCAAUCCGCUGAAAGAUGGCCUCGCGGCUGAUUAGCUAGUUGGCGGGGUAAUGGCCCACCAAGGCGACGAUCAGUAGCCGGACUGAGAGGUUGAACGGCCACAUUGGGACUGAGACACGGCCCAGACUCCUACGGGAGGCAGCAGUGGGGGAUAUUGCACAAUGGGCGAAAGCCUGAUGCAGCGAUGCCGCGUGGAGGAAGAAGGUCUUCGGAUUGUAAACUCCUGUCUUUGGGGACGAUAAUGACGGUACCUAAGGAGGAAGCUCCGGCUAACUACGUGCCAGCAGCCGCGGUAAUACGUAGGGAGCGAGCGUUGUCCGGAAUUACUGGGUGUAAAGGGAGCGUAGGCGGGGCGGCAAGUCAGGUGUGAAAUUUAUGGGCUUAACCCAUAACCUGCAUUUGAAACUGUCGUUCUUGAGUGAAGAAGAGGUUGGCGGAAUUCCUAGUGUAGCGGUGAAAUGCGUAGAUAUCGGGAGGAACACCAGUGGCGAAGGCGGUCAUCUGGACUGUAACUGACGCUGAGGCACGAAAGCGAGGGGAGCAAACAGGAUUAGAUACCCUGGUAGUCCACGCUGUAAACGAUGGAUGCUAGGUGUAGGUGAGAAGGACUCAUCUGUGCCGGAGUAACAC
rnacentral:rRNA from 1 species